UAUUUAACACCACCGGGUGUCAUAGCAUUUGUAUAGCUCAUUAGGUCAAUGAAGAGCUGUAUAGGUGCUUUUUAUUUUA
rnacentral:ncRNA from 1 species